rnacentral:tRNA from 1 species
GCCCCCGUAGCUCAACGGGAUAGAGCAGCGGACUUCUAAUCCGCAGGUUGCACGUUCGAGUCGUGCCGGGGGUG